rfam:Guillardia theta CCMP2712 unplaced genomic scaffold GTITHscaffold_88, whole genome shotgun sequence.
CUGUACGGUCAUACCUGGUUGGAAACGCCGGAUCCCGUCCGAUCUCCGAAGCUAAGCAACCAUGGGCGUGUCUAGUACUCGGGUGGGGGACCACCGGGGAAGCGCACGUACCGUACAGA